rnacentral:rRNA from 1 species
CCUACGGGUGGCAGCAGUGGGGAAUAUUGCACAAUGGGGGAAACCCUGAUGCAGCGACGCCGCGUGAGUGAAGAAGCGUUUCGGCGCGUAAAGCUCUGUCAGCGGGGAAGAAACACGGUUCGCGAGAGCCGCGGACGGUACCCGACCAAGAAGCCCCGGCUAACUACGUGCCAGCAGCCGCGGUGAUACGUAGGGGGCAAGCGUUAUCCGGGUUCACUGGGGGUAAAGGGAGCGUCGACGGCGAGGCAAGGCGGGAGUGAAAGGCCGGGGCCGAACCCCGGGACUGCUUUGGAAACUGCAUGGCUGGAGUACAGGAGAGGUAAGGGGAAUUCCUAGGGUAGCGGUGAAAUGCGUAGAUAUUAGGAGGAACACCAGUGGCGAAGGCGGCUUACUGGACUGUAACUGACGUUGAGGCUCGAAAGCGUGGGGAGCAAACAGGAUUAGAUACCCUUGUAGUC